rnacentral:tRNA from 8 species
GGCUCGGUAGUUCAGCUGGUUAGAACGCUAGCCUGUCACGCUAGAGGUCGACGGUUCGAUCCCGUUCCGAGUCGCCA